UCUUUCUUCUUCAUCCCCCAAAUGUAGAAACCGCCAUGGAUGAGGCUCCGACGAAGUGGAACGUCACCUUCACGAAGCACCUCAAGCAGAAGCGCAAGCUCUACCGCAGCGGCUUCCUCUCUCUCCACUCCUCCGCAAUCGAUAUGUAAUGCUGUAUGAUGACAGCGAGCAGCUGUUGGAAUGCAGGAUCUCGGAGAAUGAUGAAGUUGUUUGUUCUGGUGAGACGCUGACGUUCAUGCUUAUUUGGUUGAUGUUGGAGAGCCUGAAGGAGGGCAGAAGCCCCUGGAUGAUACUUAUAUUCAUAACCGAGAAAAGAAAGUUCCUAAGUGAACGGCUUUGCUUCACAGGAACAAGUUCGUCGACGUGUCCAAUUGCACCGGUAUUGUCUGUUCUUGCAUAUUUGUCUUUCUUAAUGCUGGUGUCUCCAUUGGUUUAAAAUUUGACAACUCGUGCUUGUACCUUCGCAAUGUUGUGCUCAUCAUCUACCUGUGUAAUCGUAUAAUACACUUGGCUUUCUUUUUAAGGAGAUGAGAAGACCAAAGUGGAGAAGGAUAAACAGCAGAGAAUCCGCCUGAGCCCAUCGCAGAAAAUUAUUAGAGAAUUCAAGAAGAAUGAAAUGAACAAGUACGGCAUAUUGCAGGCGAGUCCAAACUCAAGGACAUCAAGUACCGCAGGUGAGUUUGGACUCCUGCUGACUCAUCUAUGCCCAUGCCAGGCCGUGUCUUUCUCUUCAUGUAUCUCCUGGAUUGUAAAUCCGUUCUUGAUUUUCUCUGAGGUACAGUUUCUGCACAUCUUUACACAACAUAUAGUCUUUUCAAGGUCAAUAAGGAUUCUCUCAACUCUGAUGCUUUGUAUAUCAAAUCUUUGCAAUCACAACGGUUUCAUAUAUUUUCAUGGCUUAUCUCUAUGCAAACAUCUCUCAGAAAACUGGUCUGCAUAUUCUCUAUGCAGUUAUAUUCGAGUGUGUUACUGUUGUCUCAGCACGGCAAUUGACAUGAUAUUCCUUUUGAUGUAGAUUGGUAUGCCUUGUAUACAACAUACUUUAACUCAAAAGUCGAAGAAAUAUCAUGAUGGCUUCUUGUGUUGUAUGAGCAGUGGAUCUAUGACUAGGCAGGUCAAGCUCUACAGUCAACAUCUCCUUCGGAUUUUCACCCUUAGAUAAUUCCAGCUAUCUUGUUCCUGAAUUAAAUGUCAUCUCUUCCUUCCUUUAAUAGUUUGUUUUCUUCUUCAUGACGCAUACCUUUC